rnacentral:antisense_RNA from 1 species
CUUGAUGGAGCCGAGCAGCAGCGGCCGGCCGGCCGGGCGGUCCUGGCCGUAGGUGGCGAGGACCGCCUGGGCCUC